rnacentral:rRNA from 1 species
AGUGAAGCGGCAACAGCUCAAAUUUGAAAGCUGGCCUUCGGGUCCGCAUUGUAAUUUGUAGAGGAUGCUUUGGGGCAGCCGCCUGUCUAAGUUCCUUGGAACAGGACGUCAUAGAGGGUGAGAAUCCCGUAUGUGACAGGACAUGGCACCCUAUGUAAAGCUCCUUCGACGAGUCGAGUUGUUUGGGAAUGCAGCUCUAAAUGGGAGGUAAAUUUCUUCUAAAGCUAAAUACCGGCGAGAGACCGAUAGCGCACAAGUAGAGUGAUCGAAAGAUGAAAAGCACUUUGGAAAGAGAGUUAAAAAGCACGUGAAAUUGUUGAAAGGGAAGCGCUUGCAAUCAGACUUGUUUUGACUGUUCGGCCGGUCUUCUGACCGGUUUACUCAGUCUGGACAGGCCAGCAUCAGUUUUGGCGGCCGGAUAAAGGCUCAGGGAAUGUGGCUCUCACUUCGGUGGGAGUGUUAUAGCCCUGGGUGUAAUACGGCCAGCCGGGACUGAGGUCCGCGCUUCGGCUAGGAUGCUGGCGUAAUGGUUGUAAGCGACCCGUCUUGAACACGGA